rnacentral:rRNA from 1 species
AUAGCAAGCGCAGCUACCAUGCAGUCGAGCGGUAGCACAAACUUGCUUUUUUGAGACCGGCGCAGGGUGAGUAACGCGUAUGCAACCUACCUUAUACUGGGGAAUAGCCCGAAAACUUCGGAUUAAUGCUCCAUGGUUUAUCCAUAUGGCAUCGUAUUGAUAAUAAAUAUUUAUCGGUAUAAGAUGGGCAUGCGUAUCAUUACCUACUUGGUGUGGUAACGGCAUACCAAGGCAACGAUGAUUACGGGUCCUGAUAGGAAGAUCCCCCACACUGCUACUGAUACGCGGACCAGACUCCUCCGGGAGGCAGCAGUGAGGAAUAUUGUUCAAUGGAGGCAACUCUGAACCAGCCAUGCCGCGUGCAGGAUGACGAACCUAUGGAUUGUAAACUGCUUUUGUACAGGAGGAAACCUCCCUACGAGUAGGGACUUGACGGUACUGUAAGAAUAAGGAACGACUAACUCCGUGCCACCACCCGCGGUAAUACGGAGGAUCCGAGCGUUAUCCGGAAUUAUUGGGUUUAAAGGGUUCGUAAGCGGCUUUGUACGUCAGUGGUGAACUUUCCUAGCUUAACUACGACACUGCCAUUGAUACUGCAAAACUUGGAUAAUAUGGAAGUAACUAGAAUAUGUAAUGUAUCGGUGAAAUGCUUAGAUAUUAAAGAAAUACCAAUUGCCAACGCAGGUUACUACCUAUCUUAUUGACGCUGAUGACGAAGGGGUGGGGAGCGAAGAGGAUUAAAUACCCUGGAACUCCCCGCCCUCACGAUGGAUACUAUCUGUUCGGAUUUCGUACUGAUUGGCUAAGCGAAAGUGAUAAAAAUCCCACUGGGGAGCCGUGCGCAAAAAGGAGCCUCAAUGAAAUCACAGGGGCCCGCGCGAGCCCGGAACCUGGGGGUAUAAUGUCGGAUGAAACUCGAGGAACUUCACCAAGGCCUUAACUGUACAUUGGCUGCAUUUGAAACACAAUUAUCUUCGGACAUUUUCAAGGGUGUUGCAUGAUUGUCCGCCAACUGCGGCCGUGAC